rnacentral:lncRNA from 1 species
AAAAAUUUCCAUUGAAGUAAAGGUUUAGUAUCUGUAUUCAUUUCCUAGGGCUGUCAUAAAAAAUUACCACAAACCUAGAGGCUCCAAACAACAGAAAUUUAUCAUCUCACAGUUCGAGAGGCCAGAUGUCCAAACUCAAGAAAUUAGAACUCCUUGUCCACUUCAGGCCUGUUGAAACCACCAACUCAUCAACUCGGCCCAUGCAGAUGUCCAAUAGGCGACCUUUUGACAUCAAGAGGCUAAAAACUCCAUCCUCAGAUCAUGCUAAUGCUGCCAUUUUGUGAACAUGGGUCCUAUGAAGAGGCAUGAAGUCUGACUACGCUUGCACAGAGCAUCAAUUACCUCACCUCCAAUCACCUCUCUCCACAUUUUAGACCACCUUGCCCCCAUCCCAUAAAUAUCCCUGAGUCCCUAUUUUUGGGGAAGCAAAU